UGGUUCGUAGCUCAGUGGGAGAGCACUACCUUGACACGGUAGGGGUCGCUGGUUCAAUCCCAGUCGAACCAACCA
rnacentral:tRNA from 1 species